rnacentral:misc_RNA from 1 species
AAGUCGUAACAAGGUUUCCGUAGGUGAACCUGCGGAAGGAUCAUUAAUGAAUUUGGUGGUGUUGGUUGUUAUUGUUGAUUGUUAUUGUUGAUUGUUAUUGUUGAUUGUUAUUGUUGAUUGUUAUUGUUGAUUGUUAGUGGUUGUUGUUUAUUAUUUGUUUGUUUAUUGUUUUUAUGAUAAACAGCAGAUACAAAAUAGCAAACGGCAAACGGCAAACGGCAAACGGCAAACAGCAAACAGCAAACAGCAAAUAUAAAUAAUAACAAUAACAACACCAAUAGCACAUUCACGCUUGUCUUG